AGGCACUUCAUGUUCAGCAGGGCAGCGGACGUGAACUCCCUUCAACCACCGCUCUGUAUGCUGUUCAUCCUAUGGACACCUCAGCACCUGCGGCUCACCACCAGACCACACUCAUGUCCCUUAGGUCUGAAAACAAGAGUCCACCCACAGAAAUAUCACAUACCUCUGCAAGAAAGACAAAACCACGUGAAAGAGGUCCUAAAGUUGGCUUAAACCAGCUGAUUGUAGUGUCAUGUGAAGGAAAGCGAAAAGUCUACUGUCAGCUGUGUUCUGUGAAGUUGAACAGUUCCAGGCACCCACUUGGGUUUGAGCACAAGUAUAACUAUGUGAAAAAGCUGUACCCUUGGUGGACUGCCAAGCCAUUGGACGUGGAGAGCAAAUUGGACAAGAUGGUAGCCAACUUGGCUGAUGUAGAGAAAGAUGUAGGAUCCUGCUCCGCACAGACAAUGGAAGUGAACAUUGAUUGAGUACAACGAGCUGAAUGGUCUUCCAGACAACAAAGCUCUAGAAAGGGUGAAAGCAAUGGUGAAACAGAACGAGUCGCAGGUCUCAUCCUCCACAACUGAUGCUGCAGAGGUUUUGAGACAGCGUGUUGCCAUUGCUAGUCCAUGUGAAAUUUCAAGCCCAGAUGAUGUGACUUCCAUGCCACAGAAUGAAAUGGCAGGACCUUCUACUGAUAACCAAUCAGAGCAUGAGAACAAAUAUGAGCCCCAGACGCCAG